rnacentral:tRNA from 1 species
GUAGCCUAGUGGUCAUGGCAUCUGCCCGGUAAGCGGAAGGUCGUGGGUUCGAUUCCCACACU